CAGGAUGAACGCUGGCGGUCUGCUUAACACAUGCAAGUCGAACGCAACCUUCGGGUUGAGUGGCGGACGGGUGAGUAACGCGUGAGAAUCUGCCUUGGGGUCGGGGACAACCACUGGAAACGGUGGCUAAUACCGGAUAAGCCUUUGGGUAAAAGAUUUAUUGCCCCAAGAGGAGCUCGCGUCUGAUUAGCUAGUUGGUGAGGUAAAAGCUCACCAAGGCAGCGAUCAGUAGCUGGUCUGAGAGGACGAUCAGCCACACUGGGACUGAGACACGGCCCAGACUCCUACGGGAGGCAGCAGUGGGGAAUUUUCCGCAAUGGGCGAAAGCCUGACGGAGCAAGACCGCGUGAGGGAGGAAGGCUCUUGGGUUGUAAACCUCUUUUCUCAGGGAAGAAGCUCUGACGGUACCUGAGGAAUCAGCCUCGGCUAACUCCGUGCCAGCAGCCGCGGUAAUACGGAGGAGGCAAGCGUUAUCCGGAAUUAUUGGGCGUAAAGCGUCCGCAGGUGGCGAUUCAAGUCUGCUGUCAAAGCACGGGGCUUAACUCCGUUAAGGCAGUGGAAACUGAAUAGCUAGAGUGCCGUAGGGGUAGAGGGAAUUCCCGGUGUAGCGGUGAAAUGCGUAGAGAUCGGGAAGAACAUCGGUGGCGAAAGCGCUCUACUGGACGGCAACUGACACUCAGGGACGAAAGCUAGGGGAGCGAAUGGGAUUAGAUACCCCAGUAGUCCUAGCUGUAAACGAUGGAUACUAGGUGUAGCUUGUAUCGACCCGAGCUGUGCCGAAGCUAACGCGUUAAGUAUCCCGNCUGGGGAGUACGCACGCAAGUGUG
rnacentral:rRNA from 1 species